AACUGCAUUCUAGUGGCUUUAUCAUGGGGUAAAGUUUUCAUAGCACUGCCAUUUCAGCUCUCCCCGUAUUCCAGUAAGGCGUUUUAUCGCAAUCACAAGGUUGUAGAAUUCAAUGAUAUUACACGGUAAUCAUUCAAAUUUUCUUCUAUGGCAAUUGAAUCACAAUCUUCUUCCUUAGAUGAUGUUGUAGGGAUUAAAUGGGGUUUUACCAAAUUACAAGGCGCUCGAGACGAGAUGGAAGACGAAGCUGUUAUAGUUCAUCCCGAUACACUUUGUGGAUUCUCUUUUGCUGCUGUUUUUGAUGGCCAUGGUGGUUCUUCUUCUGUUAAAUUCCUAAAUUUUAUAAGAAUGGAGGCAGAAUCUGUAGACUUGGAGUGGCAGAAUCUCUCAUGGUUCAUCCUUUAAUCAGGUUGUCACUGAUUUGGAUGGAAAUUACAUUACACAAAUAGGGAGCUUAGGAGAGGAGGAUUACGUGAUGGGCCUUGCUUAUAACGCGAAAAUAAAUGUGAUUUAUGUUGCAGAUACUGAAAAUCAUGCUUUGAGGGUGGAGGGCAGCAUAUUCGGAUGCCGACUAAUAGGCGAGAUGGAAUGUUUCUGCAAUAUCAGACGUCAGCCCUAAUAUCAUAGACACAAGCUUCACAAUGGAUGAUAUGACAAGAUUUUUGGCGCUAAAGGUUGAGUUUGACUGAUCUAGUCAAUCUGUCAGGUUUUCAAAACUCCAAGGGAGAGGCCAUUUACCAAAGAGGAGUUGGAUGAAGUUCGAGACAAGUGGGCUACUUACUUCAACGAUUGUGAACUACCCUUAGUGUAAUAAAUAGGCAGGCUUGUAGUUAUCAGUGACUCUUACAUUACUUUUUUAUUUAUUGAUUUAAUUAAUUACAUUUGAAUUAAUUCGGUAGUAUUAU